rnacentral:rRNA from 1 species
UCUUGGUCAUUUAGAGGAAGUAAAAGUCGUAACAAGGUUUCCGUAGGUGAACCUGCGGAAGGAUCAUUAAAGAAAUUUAAUAAUUUUGAAAAUGGAUUUUUUUGUUUUGGCAAGAGCAUGAGAGCUUUUACUGGGCAAGAAGACAAGAGAUGGAGAGUCCAGCCGGGCCUGCGCUUAAGUGCGCGGUCUUGCUAGGCUUGUAAGUUUCUUUCUUGCUAUUCCAAACGGUGAGAGAUUUCUGUGCUUUUGUUAUAGGACAAUUAAAACCGUUUCAAUACAACACACUGUGGAGUUUUCAUAUCUUUGCAACUUUUUCUUUGGGCAUUCGAGCAAUCGGGGCCCAGAGGUAACAAACACAAACAAUUUUAUCUAUUCAUUAAAUUUUUGUCAAAAACAAGAAUUUUCGUAACUGGAAAUUUUAAAAUAUUAAAAACUUUUAACAACGGAUCUCUUGGUUCUCGCAUCGAUGAAGAACGCAGCGAAAUGCGAUACGUAAUGUGAAUUGCAGAAUUCCGUGAAUCACCGAAUCUUUGAACGCACAUUGCGCCCCUUGGUAUUCCAGGGGGCAUGCCUGUUUGAGCGUCAUUUCCUUCUCAAACAUUCUGUUUGGUAGUGAGUGAUACUCUUUGGAGUUAACUUGAAAUUGCUGGCCUUUUCAUUGGAUGUUUUUUUUCCAAAGAGAGGUUUCUCUGCGUGCUUGAGGUAUAAUGCAAGUACGGUCGUUUUAGGUUUUACCAACUGCGGCUAAUCUUUUUUUAUACUGAGCGUAUUGGAACGUUAUCGAUAAGAAGAGAGCGUCUAGGCGAACAAUGUUCUUAAAGUUUGACCUCAAAUCAGGUAGGAGUACCCGCUGAACUUAAGCAUAUCAAUAAGCGGAG